rnacentral:rRNA from 1 species
GACGAACGCUGGCGGCGUGCUUAACACAUGCAAGUCGAACGGAAAGGCCCUGCUUUUGUGGGGUGCUCGAGUGGCGAACGGGUGAGUAACACGUGAGUAACCUGCCCUUGACUUUGGGAUAACUUCAGGAAACUGGGGCUAAUACCGGAUAGGAGCUCCUGCUGCAUGGUGGGGGUUGGAAAGUUUCGGCGGUUGGGGAUGGACUCGCGGCUUAUCAGCUUGUUGGUGGGGUAGUGGCUUACCAAGGCUUUGACGGGUAGCCGGCCUGAGAGGGUGACCGGCCACCUUGGGACUGAGAUACGGCCCAGACUCCUACGGGAGGCAGCAGUGGGGAAUAUUGCACAAUGGGCGGAAGCCUGAUGCAGCAACGCCGCGUGCGGGAGGACGGCCUUCGGGUUGUAAACCGCUUUCGCCUGUGACGAAGCGUGAGUGACGGUAAUGGGGAAAGAAGCACCGGCUAACUACGU